rnacentral:lncRNA from 1 species
GGCGCUGUUUACGCUUAACACUAGUUUUUCCCCUUAUUUUGCCCCAGAAUUUAUUUAUGUGAUUAUUCAAGGCAAAGGAGUUGUUGAAUAUGGCUAUUCAUGUGGCGCAUCCAUCAGUGCGAAUGAAAGGCGCUGAGGCAGACUGGACGCCCAUACAAUGCACAGACAGGGAGUGUAGCCACUCCUUGAUGAAGGCUCCGCAUCUGCACUGUCCAUUCUGCUCCCAGGACAGUCUCUUCACUGAUGAGAUUCUCCUCAAGGCGCACUACAGGGUCAAGCACGUGAAUAAAGGCAUCAACUUUGGGGGUCUUAAAAUAUUGCGGUGUUGUAGAUCCUGCAUCGUCCACGGCAUCAUUCACGGCCUACGUCCCCUGCUGGGAUGGCGAGUGUGAAAAUCUACGUUGCACCCAUGAAGAAGCAACGACCAACGAAGACAGGGAUAAAGCAGCCAAUGAUCUUUUCGGUAUGCUCUAUGAGAAAUGAAGGCAGAGAUGGACAGAGACUGUGGAAUAGAUGGAUUUCACCCAUUCCAGCUGUCGGGCAUGGCAAACCAUCAACAACUCACGGGAUGUCAACCAGAUCUUCACCACAUACACUGACCCAGCACCCAACAGUACCAGCCUGGUAACACACCUCAUAGUCCCCCAGUCACAGCAGCCAUCGGAGACGGACACAUCAUCCCCGAGCUAUGAGCAGACUGACAGGCAGCAGCCGUAGAUCGAGUACCAGUACGCCUGCAUCAAUGAUCCGAGCCAGAGCACUGCCAAUGGGGAAGUUGUCCUUAUUGAGAUACCAGACGAAGGAAGCAAAGGGAUUUGGAGGACGAGACUUGCUACACAGAGCACAACUUGUCGCUGCUGCUGCAGGAGAAGGAACGUCUGGAAAAGACUCUUGAGGAGGAGCGGACCACGUGGGCCCAGACAGAGCACAGGAUGAAAGGCACUAUAGAAAGGCUUCGUACAAAGGUUGAGUAUUUGUCCAACACAAACACGUCACUCAAGCAGCAGCUGUCCAUGAUUCACACGUCCAGUUUGAAACGUCUGACCAACGACAGCCAUUUUGCAAGAGUUACUGUAACACAUGUCUGAGGAGCACACCCAGCUGCUGCACCACCAUCUAGCAAAGCUGCGGCUGUACGCUCAGGCCUGCGCAUUAUCCAAAUCAGCCCCCGAGGAAUCUGCAGCUGAAUCUACAGUCUUGGUACCAGACCUGGCUGACCAAUCACAAGACAUCUCACACAUGGCCAUGAUGUCGUCCUCGGAGGGCACCCUUCAGAACAUGGAGCAGACAGUCGUCAUGACGAUAACGUCUGAGGAGGAUUCGGAGCCGCUCGUCAACAUCGUGGAUAACCCGGAGAUACCGUGGGAAACGACGUCUUGCCUUUGGAUAAGGACUUUCAGUUGUCACCAAAUGACAUUCCAUACCAACUGACAAGCGAGGGACUGUCACCAAGACGUGCCACCUCCGAGUCGGGUCACGUUUAUCAAUCAGGUAGAACUCAUCCACGUCACAAUACAGGCUGUGAUGUCACACAACAGGAUUUUUACAAGAACAAAAGUUUGAAAUUGGUUCUUUCCAACAGCACGCCAAAAAUACUCUGCCCCGAUGGCUUUGACAAAAGAACAUUUGAGGACAACAUGUCAAAUGAGGGACCACUAUUAAAAUGUGGGAGAACUAACAGCCUGAAAGCCACUUAACUAAAUAAAACCGGACAUAUUUUGUAAACAGUGUA